AAACUAAUAGCUUCAAAGCUGUUUAUAAAAGAAAUAUCUUUUAAAUCUUA
rnacentral:tRNA from 1 species